GAUGAAGAACGUAGCGAAAUGCGAUAAGUAAUGUGAAUUGCAGAAUUCAGUGAAUCAUCGAAUCUUUGAACGCACAUUGCGCCCGCCAGUAUUCUGGCGGGCAUGCCUGUUCGAGCGUCAUUUCAACCAUCAAGCCCCCGGGCUUGUGUUGGGGACCUGCGGCUGCCGCAGGCCCUGAAAACCAGUGGCGGGCUCGCUAGUCACUCCGAGCGUAGUAGUUACAUCUCGCUCAGGGCGUGCUGCGGGUUCCGGCCGUUAAAAGCCUUUUACCGCAAGGUUGACCUCGGAUCAGGUAGGAAGACCCGCUGAACUUAAGCAUAUCAAUAAGCGGAGGA
rnacentral:misc_RNA from 1 species